AAACAAAAAACUAUGUUUUAAUAUUGCAUUUUUUUUGUAGGAUUCCUGGUUCUUCAAAUUGCCCACAAUGUUCAGCUGAUGUUAGUGCGCUUAUGACACAAAGUAGUGAAUACAAAAUCCUCUGUGUGGAGAGGGACAGACUACUCGAGCUGGUGAAUGUCCUACAGACAAGAGAAAAAGAGAUUAACCAGCGGUGUCUGCAGACUGAGAAAAAUUACCAGGAGGAGCGUCGCCAGACAGUGAUCCUGCAGCAGGAGCUGGAAAGGAGAAAAUUAGAUUCAAAGUAAGGACUAAACCUUACCAAGGCCUGAAGAGAUAUGACGGGAUGAAAUAACGAUGUCAAGCAGAUUUUCCUUUUUCACUUUUUGCCAUCACAACUCUUGUCGUUCAAGAGCAGCGAAUCUUAGCACCAGCACAGCAGGAGUCAACUCCUGGAAGGCUUCAUAGGAUAACUGGCGGGAGUGGGGGUCCAGCAUGUUGAUUAGAGUUUUCAUUCAUAAAAACUUAGUUUUUUUUCCCCCCCAACUUUGAGAAAAUGCCUUGAACUUUUUUCAGUUUUGUUUUUCUAGCUAUACAAAUUUACAAUACAGCACACGCUCAUCUCUUGGCUGGUCAUUUAGCUGGAGGUAACGGGGGCACUGGGAGCAUCGCUAAAGAGGCCUCUCUACCAUGGCCUGCAGUUCCACAGUGACGUGAUGAAACAAGUCAAGCAUGUUUUCUCGCAGGCUUUCCGACAGACACUAACCAGAGGAAGUGACUGGUCCCUGUUCAGCCUCACGUCCAGCUGAGCCCUACCUUCUCCUGUCACACAUGUCAAACAGAAGCCUCCAGGAAAAACACAAUCUCAAGCUUUUUCUCCAUCCUAACUCUCAGCCACAGUUUGUGAUGGUCCUUUUCUGUGCUUGGGUGAGAUCAGUUUAACCUCUUGAGUACCUUGACUAGCAGUGCUUUCAAUUUAGCCCUAAUGGCAUGAGACAAGUGCUCCUGCCGAUUACAGAAAUGUUUGACGCUGGUAGAAUGUCUCCCUAUGGUUUCAUUUUUGUCUGCUUGCCGUUUUAUAAAUGUCACUGUCACAUUUUAUUAAAAUCUAUUUAUUUUCUUCCACUGGCAACCGUAAGUGCAGUGUAGGUAUACAGAGCAAUAAUAUCUGUUUUCCAAAUAUUUUUAUAAACAAAUUAAACAUCCACCUUAAUCAAUGAAAAGGGAUACAAAAUCUAAACCAAAUGUUUUGAAUAUAUUCAAUGUAUCCUUCGUGGCUAUUACCCUCCUAUAAUUUUGUGUUUUUUUUGGCUCUGAAUAGUUGUACUUAAAUGUGUGACAAGCCAAUCCAAAUAGUAAACACCUCAGUUAAGUUCCCAAAAGGUUCAAUAUCCCUUUUAAAUAUUACUGUUAAUCAUUUCUGACUCAAAACCAGCUGUGUGGGAAUAGUGGUUGGAAAUUAUUGCAGACUUGAGCUGCACAAACCCUCGCUGUAGUCCUCAAUACAUUCCCCAGAGCGUGUCUCAGAUAUGUACAGGAGGCUAUAUGAUCUUAAAUUCUUGAUCCAAAUGAUGUCUGGAUACGCGUAGCCUGAUGGGAGUGGCCCCUACGUUCAUACUAACAUCCGAGUUAUUUUCUUCUGAUGGAGCCAAACGGAUUUCAGCAGACCCCACCCCCCCUCCACAUCACGCUUAAUUUAAAAUCAUGGCUGAGUUAGUGUGCUGCUUCAAAUACCGCACUAUUUCUUCCAGGACCCUGUGGGAGAUUGGCAUGUCCCCAUUGGACUAAGCGAGAAAGUGCCACAUGACAAAAAUAUCAGCAUUUGGACAUGAUGAAGAAAACCUUUAUGCUCAAAGUAACAAAAAAUGGUUUGUGCUAACAGCUUAGAAGGUGAGGCACUUCUUAAUGUAGUACAGCGAUGUGUCGGAGGAACUGAUGAGAUACCAUAACCUCUAUGGCUUGAUGGGUUUUGCCAAAUGGCUAUCAAAUGUAGCAAUGUGCGUCAGAAAGGGUGUUGAUGGAGCAAUUACUUGUCAUGGUCCCCAAUUGCAUCUGCUUCCAAGGCAAAUAUUUACUUGAUAAAUUUUUCCUUUCAUGAUUUCUUUUUAAAAAUAAUUGCAACAACUUCAUAUAGAAAUGUAGUUAGUGUUUGUGAGUGUGUAGAGCAUUUCCCAGAAGAUGUAAUAUCUUUAAACAUGUGCCACUUGAUAAGAACGAGGCCAAUAUGUCUAAUUUUGGGUUUAAAUAAAGUUUACAGUUCAAUACUCAUUUUACUUAAAUAUCAACUAGAUCAUAAUGCUGUAACAGACAAAUUCAGCUACUCCUGCUGACUUCAGUCAUUAGUGAGUGUCAUCACUUUGAAAUAAAUUACACUCAAACAAUUUUAAUAUUGUUGUAUGUAGCUGUAUUACGCAGAAAGGUGUAGAUUUAUUCCAAAAUGCCCAAUAACCCACCAAACCAAACACAAACUUAUGUAAACACAGCAUACAUAAACAGCCUCACCUAUUUGUCAUUCCAGGUUUGAAUGACUCCUUUCUCCAUCCUUCUCCUCAGAGGUAUUCCCUCGUUCUGGACCAAUGCUUCCUGCAGACCAUUGACUGCAUCCAGAAACUAAAGUAAAUAGUGGAGCUGUGAACGCAGAGGUUAAAGUUAGCCAUCAGUAUAUGAGGGAUCUGUGAACUUUACUCAGGCCAGAAAACGGUUUGUGCCUCUAUGAGUCCAUUCAUCUCCCAGCACGUCUCAUUUACAUGUAAUGGAAAGAAAAUAAACAGUUGAGUCCUAAUGUGCCCAUUUACAGUAAGUAAAAAUUAAACAAUGACCUGUUAUCUUCAUGCCACACUGUGAUAAAGCUAUGGCAAGCACGUGUUUUUGGGUA
rnacentral:lncRNA from 1 species